UGAAUACGAGACGCUACGGCGUCGAAGCAGUCUAUGUCAUACUUCCAAGAAAAGCUUGCACUGUCAUAAACAAAUAAUGCCUGUACCAUAACCGACACAGGUGGGUAGGUAGAGUAUACUAAGGGGCGCGAGAUAACUCUCUCUAGGAACUCGGCAAAAUGACUCCGUAACUUCGGGAGAAGGAGUGCCUUAUUUAUAAGGUUGCAAUAACAAGAUCCAAGCAACUGUUUAUCAAAAACACAGGUCUCCGCUAAGUCGUAAGACGAUGUAUGGGGGCUGACGCCUGCCCAGUGCCAGAAGGUUAAAGAAGUUGGUUAGCAUUAGCGAAGCUGAUAACUGAAGCCCUGGUGAACGGCGGCCGUAACGAUAACGGUCCUAAGGUAGCGAAAUUCCUUGUCGGGUAAGUUCCGACCCGCACGAAAGGCGUAAUGAUUUGGAUACUGUCUCGGAGAGGGGCUCGGUGAAAUAGACUUGUCUGUGAAGAUGCGGACUACCUGCACCUGGACAGAAAGACCCUAUGAAGCUUUACUGUAACUUGAAAUUGAAAUUGGACUUUAUUUGCGCAGCAUAGGUGGGAGGCGUUGAAAAUAUUCUUGCGGGAAUAUCUGAGCCAUCGGUGAGAUACCACUCUUGUAAUGUUAGAUUUCUAACUUUGUAUCAUUAUCUGGUCAAAGAACAGUUUCAGGCGGGCAGUUUGACUGGGGCGGUCGCCUCCUAAACGGUAACGGAGGCGCACAAAGGUUUCCUCUGAACGGGUAGAAAUCGUAUCUAGAGUGUAAAGGCAUAAGGAAGCUUGACUGUGAGACCUACAAGUCGAGCAGGGACGAAAGUCGGUCUUAGUGAUCUGACGGUGCUGAGUGGAAAGGCCGUCACUCAACGGAUAAAAGUUACUCUAGGAUAACAGGCUGAUCUCCCCCAAGAGUGCACAUCGACGGGGAGGUUUGGCACCUCGAUGUCGGCUCAUCGCAUCCUGGGGCGGUAGUACGUCCCAAGGGUUGGGCUGUUCGCCCAUGAAAGCGGUACGCGAGCUGGGUUCAGAACGUCGUGAGACAGUUCGGUCCAUAUCCGGUGUAGGCGUUAGAAUAUUGAGAGGAGCCUUCUUUAGUACGAGAGGACCGAGAAGGACAUACCUCUGGUGUACCAGUUAUCGUGCCAACGGUAAACGCUGGGUAGCUAUGUAUGGAGAGGAUAACCGCUGAAAGCAUCUAAGUGGGAAGCCCACCUCAAGAUAAG
rnacentral:rRNA from 1 species